ACAACCUGCCCAGGUGUUUGUUGUUUGUGCCCCGUUACCACAUACACAAAAGGGGCCAUCUUUGGAUUGGCAUUUGAAUUCUUUAGCCUUGGUGGGGAAAAUGGAUGCAGCCAGAGGCAGAGGAAGAAGACGUUGCGGAAGAGCAAGAACAGUUGUGUCUGAUGAAAUCAGAGCCACAGUCAUUGGUAAAUCAUGGUCUGUCCCUGAGGGAAGCAGGUUGAGGGUUCAACCAAACUUGCCUAGAUCCACAGUGGCUUCAAUAGUGAGGAUUUUCAGGCAAACCAACAGGAACUCUGAGGGUGUCAAGGUACUCAGAUACCAAUAUAUGUGAAGGUGUAGGACCACCACCCACAUGAAAAGUCACUUCCAGAUGCAAUGCCGGCUGGGUGUAUGGACAUAACAGUGGAACACAUCCAGGGCUGGAAAAGCCACACAAAGAGAUGUUUUCCUCGGUGUAUAGAAAGAGAUAACAUUUGGAGUGAUGUUGAUGAAAAUCUAUGGCCAAAUGCAGAGGACAGGAUGGAUGGGCCAGGCCAACAGUAGACUUCUGAUACUGAUAGGCAGACAAUAUAUGUGCGAAUUACUGUAUAUAGUGAAAAUAUUGCUUUUUGGUAUGUAUUUGUUAUUGAUUGUAAUGUAUUUUGAGUAAUUGAUUGUAUUGUAUUUUUCUUUUCUGAAUUACAGUAUAUUGCACUGUGAGAACAAAUGUCAAAAUACUGUAAACCCUCUGAAGAAUA